AGCGUGGUCGCCAACUGGUAAGGCAAAGGUCUCGAAAACCUUGAUCCGUGGUUCCAUUCCGUCCCGCGCCUCCA
rnacentral:tRNA from 1 species